rnacentral:rRNA from 1 species
AGUGGCGAAAGGGCGAGUAAUGCACUCUUCAUGUGCCCCGAGGUGGGGGAUAGGUCAGGGAAACCUGGCGUAAUACCCCAUGAGCUCUCCGGAGGAAAGGCUUCGGCCGCCUUGGGAGCAGAGAGUGUCCUAUCAGGUAGUUGGUGAGGUAAAGGCUCACCAAGCCAAAGACGGGUGGCGGGUGUGAGAGCACGACCCGCCGCAUCGGGACUGAGACACUGCCCGGACUCCUACGGGAGGCUGCAGCGACGAAUCUUCCGCAAUGCACGAAAGUGUGACGGAGCAAUGCCGCGUGCGGGAUGAAGCGGCUUCGCCGUGUAAACCGCUGUCAGGGGCUAGAAAUACUGAUCAACCCCAAAGGAAGGGCCGGCUAACCUCGUGCCAGCAGCCGCGGUAAGACGAGGGGCCCGAGCGUUAAUCGGAAUCACUGGGCUUAAAGGGUGCGUAGGCGGACAUGUAGGUGUUUUGUGAAAUCCCUCUGCUCAACGGAGGAAUUGCAGGGCAAACCACAUGUCUUGAGGCAGGUAGAGGCCGUCGGAACGAUAGGUGGAGCGGUGAAAUGCGUAGAUAUCUAUCGGAACGCCGAAGGUGAAGACAGACGGCUGGGCCUGUCCUGACGCUGAGGCACGAAAGCGUGGGGAGCAAACGGGAUUAGAUACCCCGGUAGUCCACGCCCUAAACGAUGCGCACUAGGCCGUG